rnacentral:rRNA from 1 species
UACGUAGGUGACAAGCGUUGUCCGGAUUGACUGGGCGUAAAGCGCACGCAGGCGGUCGCGCGCGUGGGGUGUGAAAUCUGGCCGCUUAACGGCCAGGCGCCAUCCCAUACGGCGCGACUGGAGUGAUGCAGAGGUCGAUGGAAUUGCCGGUGUAGUGGUGAAAUGCGUAGAGAUCGGCAGGAACACCCAGGGGGAAACCAGCCGACUGGGCAUUUGCUGACGCUGAGGUGCGAGAGCGUGGGGAGCGAACCGG